AUUAAAUAUAAAGUCCAAAUCUAGCAUUUUAUCGAUUUAGUCCCUUACAAAUAUACCUUUCUAUGCUUCUUUCCUGGAGUAAAAAUAUAGAAUUUUUUAUAUGAAUCCUGAAGGGACAGUACGUUCCUUCCGAAUGUGAAGGAGGUGAAAAGGGAAGGUCUCAGCAGCGUCAGUGUGAAAGCAUGCUGAGGAUCAGCACAGGGGAAUUUGCAGAUCUGUAGUGAACUUUCAAAUCAAUUCUAUGCAUUAGUUAUUAUCAGCGGCUUUGAUAGACACCAGACUUCACCAGACGUCUGCUCAUUACGGGGACAUGAUACUGUCUGACCAAAUCUACAGAGAGACAGAAAACGAGAGCAGUUGUCUCACAGAUCACCUCAGCUGUGGGGCCGUCCCUGGGGCUCGUUUGACAUGCACACUUUUUACGGCCCCUAAGAAUGAUUCUAGCAGACGAGGCUUUGUGCUGGAUGGAAUCUACCCACCUCCAGUAAGUCCAUGUAUCUUCUUUUAUUGGAGUAUGAAGGAAAAUGACAAUGAAAUUUUAUUCCGGCAGAAUUUCAGACGGACAGUUCGAGCUCCCGCGGGGUGGGCGAAAUGCGGCCCAUAUGCGAGCGGCAUGGGCAAACCAAUCCGGAAAAACGGCAAAGGACGAAUCAAAGGAGGAGGGAGCUGUUCCAUUUCUCUGUUUCUUCUGCCAUUGGGAGCUGUUACUCUUGCAUACAGAGUUGGGGAGGGACGCCGUUUCCCCAACGCCACCCUCAAACUCAGCAGUGGAGAUGAAUAA
ensembl:lncRNA